GCUGGAUGUGGUGGUGCAUAUCUGUAGUCCCAGUUAAUUGGGCGGCUGAGGCAGGAGGAUUCCUUGAGUCCAGGAAUUCAAGGCUGCAGUGAGCUAUGAUGGCAUCACUGUACUCUUGCCUGGACGACAGAGCAAGACCCUAUCUCUA
rfam:Gorilla gorilla gorilla genomic chromosome, chr19, whole genome shotgun sequence